rnacentral:rRNA from 1 species
CGGUGGAGCAUGUGGUUAAUUCGAAGCAACGCGCAGAACCUUACCAGCUUUUGACAUAUCCGGUUUGAUCGGCAGAGAUGCCUUUCUUCAGUUCGGCUGGCCGGAACACAGGUGCUGCAUGGCUGUCGUCAGCUCGUGUCGUGAGAUGUUGGGUUAAGUCCCGCAACGAGCGCAAUCCCUCGCCCCUAGUUGCCAUCAUUCAGUUGGGAACUCUAGGGGGACUGCCGGUGAUAAGCCGCGAGGAAGGUGGGGAUGACGUCAAGUCCUCAUGGCCCUUACAGGCUGGGCUACACACGUGCUACAAUGGCGGUGACAAUGGGCAGCGAAGGAGCGAUCCGGUGCUAAUCCCAAAAAGCCGUCUCAGUACAGAUUUGCACUCUGCAACUCGAGUGCAUGAAGGUGGAAUCGCUAGUAAUCGUGGAUCAGCAUGCCACGGUGAAUACGUUCCCGGGCCUUGUACACACCGCCCGUCACACCAUGGGAGUUGGGUUUACCCGAAGGCGUCGCGCUAACCGCAAGGAGGCAGGCGACCACGGUAGGCUCAGCGACUGGGGUGAAGUCGUAACAAGGUAACC